rnacentral:tmRNA from 1 species
GGGGGCGACAUGGCUUCGACAUGGGUCGCGAAACCUUCGGUGCAUGUAGAGGUGUAGAGUUCCUCUUAAAUCCAGCUACAACAGUUAUAGUUGCAAACGACGAUAACUACGCACUAGCAGCCUAGAGCCGCUAGGGUCUCACCAGAGUUGUUCAUGGCUUCGGAAUCGAGAUCUCAUUAAACAUGAAAUCGCCAGUUGUUCGUGUCGAUUGAACAGCGGUUAAAACGCAAGUCGACUCACCUGCGAAUGUGUGCGUUUGUCCAGACAUCAAAGGCUAAAUUAAAGACAGACUAAACAUGUAGAUCCGUUGAGCGGAGGGCUUGUGGACGCGGGUUCGAUCCCCGCCGCCUCCACCA